CACAAACCAAAACUUAUAUUCGCCAAGAGAAACUACACAGAUCUAUAUUUUUGUUAAUAUAGCAAACAGAAUUAAUCAUAUUUUUUAUAUAACUCCAUACUACAAUUAUGAAAAAAAGGAACCAUAAAAUAAAUCUCAACUAUAUUACCCCUCCCUCCUGUACGUUUGAUUCACAGUUCUUUCGGCAUAUGAUGCAGGGGAGAAGAGUCUGUCGCUUGAAGCAGGUCUGGGGCCGGUUGUACGAAGGCUGGAUAGCACUAUCCAGAGAUUUUUUCAACCUUUCCGAAAUUGUUCGUUGAUUGGUAUAACCCGGAAGUUAUGAAUUAAUGUUUAUUUUUAUUAAUGUCCGUAGUUUCAUAGCGUUUCAAGCAUUUUUACAACCCUGAAACCAGUAGCCGGUGGAUAGCGCUAUCCAUGCAAUCUUCGGACAACUGGCCUAUUCUAUUUGCACACCCACUGCCCAAACAACAAUGUAUGAUAUCUAUUACAGUAGGCUAUAUUAGCUAUUAUACAGUGUUGUGUUCUAUCAAAUGAUUAUAUUAUACAUACAUUGAUUUUAGCAGUUGACUGAAUGAUAUAAAGAUGUUAGUUUGGUUCUAGUAUACUGUUUUGUCAGUUCACACUGCGUCAAAAGAACAAAUAAUUACGUCACACAUCUGCAACCAACAGCAAUCUUAAUCUUGCGUAUACCAAAUUGUGAAAAAGAUAUCGGCUCCUUGUUGGGUAUCUCCAGCACAUCUCUGGUCUGGUACUUUGUUACACAGUGAUACAGACCUCCGGCACAUGUUGAUAACUUCUCGUUCAGGCUGUUCUUGCUUGAGUAUGUAUUACAAAAUACCUCGCGGUAUUCGUGUGGGAAGAAUAUACUGUCGCUUCCGAAAUAUCCAGCUGUGGAUCGAGGCUUGGUUUCAACCGUGUGUUGAACACAUAGGUCUCUGUGUGCAUGAUGAAUUUGACUUCCACAUUGAGUCAAACAGCAAGCAAUUGAUAGCAAGGUAAACAGCCACUAAAAUGAAAAAAGUGUACAUUGGCAUAAUAUUACAGUAUAGACAAUAGUAUAAAUGCGAACUAAACAUGAAAUGAGAAAUUCAGCUAAUGCGAAAUAAUGCACGAUGUGUCGAUGUUAGGCUGUCCACUCAGAUGUAGAAGAGUUUAAAAUUUUGAAGAUUGAAAUUUCGAAUGAAAAUG